CGGAGCGGCACAGCGCACUGCGCGCCCCCCGCACGGCACGGUCCGGCGCGGCACGGAGGGAGGUUAUCGGGCGCGGGGGGAGGACUGAGGCUGGCAAGGUGAGAGCUCGGAUUGCCGGAGUGCCGGGAGGAAGCUGCCAUUUGUGAGCUGUGAGUGACGAGCGUGUAAUUUCAGCACCACUAAUGGACACUUAUUUUUCAUCAACUGGAGGAAAGAUGGGAAGGCGGAAGGAAACAAAUGAUCAUUACAGGUUAACCAACACAGAAGACAGAAGGAGUAUCAGCAGGGAUGACAUGGAACUAAUGCCACACAGAGAAGCAACCAGUGUGCCCAAAACAUCUUGGCAAAACUGAUGUAUUCCCAGGCUGUGGGGAGAUUACAGUACAAGUUCCUAUGAGAAUAUAUUGCAGACUGUGUGCUAGGAAAGCACCUCCAUUGGGGAAAAUUUGCCUGUGGAACGAGAAAUACAUAAGCAGAAACUGGGAACUGAAGAAAUGUUGUUAAGGUCAGCAGUGGGAUUUUUUUGAGAGUGUUUGUUUUUUUCUGGUGUGACAGUGGACCACCAAAACAACCUGUGGGGCUGCUGAGGUACAGUUUUGAAGGUGGUGUGAGAUUUAUUGCCAGGCUGGCAAAUCCUCGUGACAUCUUUCAGGGCCAAUGGGAAUUCAAAGUGUACUUGGUGCUUUUAUUCUGCUGAAAGACACACUGCAGAAAAUAAUAAUCAGCAUAUAACACUGUUUCAUUCCAUUUAAAUUUCUCUGCCUUUGCUAAUGUUUGCUUAAUGUGUACUAGCGCAGUACAUGCAUUGUAGAGUAACCAUUACUUCAAUUAUGAGACAUAAUAGGAAGUCACUAAAAGAUUUUUUAAUGGUAUUUUAUGUUAGUAUUUAGAUAUAUUAAGAAAUAAUGCUUUUUUCAGUUACUUUUGGCACAACAGACUAAAUUGCAAUAAGAAAAUAACUGAUUAAAGCAGGCUGAUGGUCUUCUGAUUUUACCAUGCAAAAUUCUUCUUUCACAGAUUGCCAGUCAGAAACAAUGUUCAACAUGGAGAGAGCAGGAAGAAGCUUGAUACAGAAAAAGAGAGAGAUCCUGAUGGUCCUUCACGAUCCCUUCUCAGACCUGGAAGAUGUAGAUGUGACUGCAAGCUUGCUUCCUGAGGUAUUUCCUGUGAUAAGACUCUAGGAGAUGAGAGAUAUCAUCAUCGUCAUCGUGGUGGUCACUGUCCUCGUCAACGGAACAACGCCCAACAACCCACCUCUACUGAAGAGCAACGACUGAACUAUGAACCACGCUGGACCCAUGGUGGUGACAAUCUCCCUCUUGCUCCCUCUAGAGACUCCUUGCUCCUAUUUCCUAUCUUUUCUACUGCCCUUCUUUCCUUCCCCAUCACCCUAAUUUGUACGUAUGAAGACUCCUUGCUUCUAUUUUCUAUCUUUUCUAUCGCCUUUCUUCCCUUCCCCAUUGCCCCAGUCCAUAAUAGUGUCUGUCCUCCCCUUUCCCCAUCUCCCUUAUUAACAUUUGUAAUAAACUGGUUGGACCAACAUCUGGACCGUUGUUUCUUAAUCUCAUGCUGGGUAUACAUAUUUCAAAGAACCUUCUCUCCCUCCUAUAAAUUGGAGCAAGUCGACCUUACUUUCAGAUAGUUGCACCCUUUUGGGCUUCUGAUCGUUAUAUUCUUUGAUUGAUUACACCUUUAAUCGGUGCAAAUCUGGGCUUACUGAUUAAUGAGGAACUAUACCAGAUAAGCAUGAUUUUCUGUUGGGAUUCAAGGUUACUUGCAUAAGAAAGCUAGUAUUAUUGUAGCACAUAAUGUUUUGGAUUUAUUUUUAUUUAAUUUAUUAUUUUUUGAUCCAUUUUAGCAUUCUAUGAUAAAUCCAUCUAUUAACCUUUGCUGGCAAUAUAAUCCUCUUCAUUUAAUUUCUUAUUUGUUCUUAUUUGUUUUUUAAUUGCAUAAUGAUAAAUAUGUUGAAGUUUUUUGUUUAUGGUGGUGAACAACUGAAAAUUAAUGAUUUUAUAAGAUGUAUGCUACAGUUAAAAGAUUAACUACCUUUAUUUAGGUUAUGUAUUUUAUAUUUUAUUCAGUUUAAUGUUCACAGACCUUGCAAAACUUUCACACUGCCUAGGUAUAUGUGCCUAUAUUUGACUGCUGAUAAAGUGUGGAAUUUCAAUCUGUUAUUGUAACACUUUGAAAUGAAGAGAAAUUUGUGUUAUACUUUUAUUGCUGCUUAAGUUGCUUCCAGAAAAUCUGAUUGAAAGUAUAGAAAAAGCAGCCAUGAAGAGGAAAGCACAAGCAAUCUUCCAUUCUCUAUUUUAUGGCUGACACACAUUACAUCAGAGUCUUUUUUGUGUGAGAGACAGUUUGGAAUAAUGAAUAUCAAUUUCAUGCAUGUUACACACAGGCAAGUCUUACUGCUCGUCAUUUUCCCCACAGUUUUCUUAAAAAUCCGACUGGGUUAUGAAGUCUACUUCAGUUGCCACAUUCUUAGUAUGAAGUAAAAAGGCAUUUUGCCCAAACCUUUCCUGGCAAGAGUUUAAAUUUAGUCAUAUAUUCCUCUGAAAAAGUGAACAAUUGCUUUUAUGGAAAGGGAACUCAGAUGUGCAAGCUGGAAAGCAGCCACUCUGCACUCCUACCAGAUCUCUGACUUGAAUGAUAAGGGGACCAAGCCUGCCACAGAGACACUUACCAAGCAAUUUAGAUGCAGCAUUACUUUCUCAGCUCUGCAUUAAAAGUAGAUAGAUUCUUUUUUGCUUCAUAUAUUCUAACUGCACCUUCUCCAGGGCACUGCACAGAAGUCUGAGGAGCAGUUCGGGUGCCUAAAAUAGGUGUCUGGCAUAUUUUUAGAUACUCUGGAGUACAUAAAACAUUCCCACAGGACUACGAGGUGUGAUACAGGGCUGUACUCCGGUCUUUUAGAGGGGCUAGAAGCCAGACAAAAUCAGAAAGCCAGACAAAAUAUUUUAGAACAAUUCACACAGUAUCAUAGAGUCAUAGUUCUCACUAAACCAUGAGCCUCAACACAACGUCCAAAUGUUCCUUGAACAUCUCCAGGGUCAGUAUAAAGCAUCUUUGUGUAAACUCCAGUAUCUCCUCAUCCAUUUAGAAUUUCAGACGAUGUUUUCUCUCAAGCCACAGUUUUCCUCUCAUAGAUUCAUGAGUUUCUGCUCUUCCCCCUUCUGACUACAUGAACUUGUGAUGUUAGCCAUGGUAGAAAUGAUCAUAUUGUUAAAUUUGGUCACAGUUAUCCCACUGUGAUCAGAAAUCACACAAAGUGUAGGUGGAGCUACAUGAGUUCUUGAAUGGCAAAUAUCAAUUUUCAUGUAAAUUUGUCUAUUGCUAAAUAACGUGAGUGUGUAUAUGGAAGAAGCAGAAAUGCUUGCCAAGGAGAAUAUAGAAAAUAUUUUGUAGGUCUCAUUGCAGUAGAGCGAUUUCUUCUACAGCAGCAUUUCCAUCCCAAGGUGCUCAGUACAUUGCAAUUCAGUCUGAGUUGCAGGUGGUCUGGGCUUACCUUUCUCCCCAUGGUUUUAAAUAGAUUCAUAUUUAUGGAGCUACUCAAAAAAAAAAAAAAAAAAAAAAAAAAAAAAAAGUUUUGCACCUAUAUUCUGUUUCUCUUUGCAAAUGAAGUCCCAGUUUGACUCACUAUAUUUUCCACACAUUUUGUAUAAGUGACACAGAAUAUUUACAAGUGUAGUAACUACAGACUUACUUAUUUUGCAGAACAAUGUCUUUUACAGUCAAUUAAAUAUUUGUUCCACCUUCACCUUCUUUUCAUACAAUGAAACUACCUCUAGGGAGCUAAUUUUAACUUUUCUUAACUGAUAAUUAUACUCGUUCCUGUGUAAACCUUUUGUUACUGCUGCAGUGCAAUUAAUAGUGUGUUCCUACAGAGAUGUUUAGAUACAAGAUGUGGUUUAAAUUCCACUGUCAAUAGGACCAAUUGUAUGACAAUAUCAUCUUCUGAGCAGAGAAGACCAUCUAAGUGUAUAUCCUGGAGGAGUAGGACUAAGAGCUGAUCUUUGUGCAUGUAGAUGGAUGGUUGGACUGGAUAAUCUUGUAGGUCUUUUCCAACCUUGGUGAUUCUAUGAUUCUAUGAUUGUUGCAGUGGUUACCAUUCAUCCUCCUUCGAGGGACACAGCUUGGCCAUUCACUGCAGUGACACCAAUAUGAUGAUCAGCAAAUGGCAAUUUAUUGAACCUCACACACACUUAUAUACCUAUGCCCUUCGUGCACGCCUACUACAGUGUACACGUCGUAGCUCCUCCCAGAGUAGGGGAAGGGUCUAACGCGUCACAACCCGAGAAGCUCGCAUGCGCCUAAUACAACAU
ensembl:lncRNA